rnacentral:rRNA from 1 species
GUGCCUAACACAUGCAAGUCGAACGAGAAAGCGGGAGCAAUCCCGUGAGUAAAGUGGCGACCGGGUGAGUAACACGUGACUAACCUACCCUCAAGUGGGGAAUAACCUCGGGAAACCGGGGCUAAUUCCGCAUAACAUCGCGAGCUGGAAUGCUUGCGAUCAAAGGAGCAAUUCGCUGGAGGAGGGGGUCGCGGCUGAUUAGCUAGUUGGCAGGUAACGGCCUACCAAGGCGAUGAUCAGUAGCCGGCCUGAGAGGGCGCACGGCCACACUGGAACUGAAACACGGUCCAG